UGAGAACAUACCUGGCACAGCAGCAGCUCUCCGGUGGACAGGUACGAACCAGGAACACUCCUAAAUCCUCGAAACUGUGGACUGUCGCGACGGAAACUGUCUGGUGAGAGUUGCGUCAGUGGCUGCAGCGACAUGGACGUGGAAAAGCGAACCUCUUCAUGGUCUGUGGAAGAAGUGUUGGGUUGGGCUCAGGAGCAAUUCCCUGAUCACAUGAACCUGCUCCAAAAAGCCAUAAUCAAGCACGCUAUCUCAGGCCGUGCAUUGUUGAGAUUGAAAGCUCAUCACCUGGAGUCUCUUGGUGUGGAUGAUGAGGAUCAGCAGCAGGAAAUCUUACAGGACAUCCUCCUCCUCAGAGUUCAAGAAGAAAUCAGUGAACUCAGUGAUAUCUGCUCUGAUUUUUUUUCUCCUUAAAGAACAAUAACAUAAGAGAGACCAGGCUGACUUUUCCUCAGCAGCUUCUGUUCAUCUGUGUGAAGGAGAUACAAAGAUGGGAGUGAUGUGAAAAUGACAAAGGAGGGAAAGGAAUCCACUUCCUGUCUGACCUCUGACCUCUGCAGAUGGAUGAAAUCAAUUUUUGGCUGAAUCUUUUUUCUUGAAUAACUUUGUUGGUUUUGUUUGUUUGUUUGUUUGUUUGUUUCCUGGUGCAUUUAAAACCCACUAGAUAGUCACAGACUAUCUGCAAAUUGGUUUUCUGCAUUUUCAAAGGAAAUAUGCACCAGUAUCAAUCAACUAAUUUUCUAAAGGCUGUGGUAGGUUUUGUUUUGCUUUUUUGUUUUGUUUUUUUCAGCCACACUACAGCCUGUCUGUAGUGUUUACUAUAUCUUAUAAUGCCAGUGAACCACUGUGGUGCAGACAGAAUUGACCACAAUGUUUCUAAUGAGCAUUGUAGAUGAAACACUCUGAAACCACAAUCCAGUGUUGAAGGGAGAAAACAUUUCAUAUGUCAGAUUAGAAGAGAUGGAUCAGUGUCAGGGAUGUCUAACUCAUGUACUGGAGCAGCAAAAAAAAAAAAAAAAAAAGCUAACCACAAAUAAUGAAAAUUUCAAAGUGUUAGUUUAGUUUUAGUGUAAAGUUUAUAUUUAAUAAUAUCAUCUUUUGUUGGAUCUGUAGAGAUUGCUAGAUAGCCAUCGAUCAUUUCUACCAGUUUUAUUUAACUUCUGCUGGAGACACCCCUGGUUUACUUAAAGGCAGUACAAAAACGGGGACGUUCUUUGGACCCUUUCACGGUUUUGGGAGAAAGACCAUCUGAGAAAAAUACUUGUGCGGAAUGGCAGGUUUGAACAAGUAAGCCUGUAGCUGUAAGGGACAUUGCAAACCAAUACACUGCUGUACUCAUCUAUGUGCACAGAGAGACACACUCACAGCAGCAGGCAGUCCUGAGUAAACAAUUAACCAAACAAGUAAGUCUUUGUACUGUUGGAGAAAACCCCCACAUGCACAGGCAGACCAUGCAAGAUCUUGAUGUCUGUCUGUCAUAUUUGACUAAAUGUAACCAAAAAAAAUCAAGUCUUUUUCUUCACUGAAUCAAAGAAUGUCUUGCAAAUAUAUUCUAGUGGUUUUUAGAUGUGGUCUGCUUUAGCAUCCUUGAGGUUCAAAAGCUUUCAGACAGCGUUUUUUGAAUGUUUGUCCACUUUAUUUAUACUGUUGGCCUCUGUUUAAUAUUUGAAUCAUAUGACAGCUAUGCUCAUUCCUGAACAUUUCUGUACGGACAACAUGGUUCACUGAAUUGACAGUGCUCCUUUGGAAACAUGAUCCUAGCUGCAGGGAUUUUGGAAAAUAGCUCUGAAAUCAUCAAUCACUGGUUUGUCACUGUUUCACACCUCUGGUUAUUGUGUAACUCUGCUGGUGAAAUCUCUGCGAAUGGCUGAGGAUUCCAAAGGGCUAAAACAGGAAAUAUGCAAGCUCUGCUUUAGCAGUUAUACAACCUCAAUUUCAGUGCAACGCAAUGAUGAGCCCUUAAUUUUAUUUCCUAAAAAGAACAUGUGAGAUGUUGAAACUACGACGUUGUUAUUUAUUGUGGAAAAAAUUAAUCAGUUGUAACACAUCUAAAAAUCGUUCCAACAGCGGAACAAAAGGCUGGAAAUGUAAUAUGCAUAAAUCAAAUACAACAGAAUGAGCACUUUACAACUAAUGAGGUUGAUUAACAACAGAUCAUUAGUAUGACUGGGUAUAAAAGGAGCAUGCCAGAUGGGCACAACCGCUCACAUUUGUACAGCAUUUCCAUAGUUUGCAACAAACUGUAUCUGAAAACUGUAGAAAAACCAAAAGACUACAGGACAAAAUAUCAAAGAAACAGGAGAAAUUGCUGCACAAGUGAACAGACAGUGAAAACUGGUUGCUGUUGAUGUUCAGACAGGUUCCACUGUGUUAGGAACAGUCAUGGUUUGAUAUGUCCUUGAUAUUUUAUUAGUGCAUGGCCUCAGGAAGACUGAAGUGGUGAAAGGUGCAUUGAAUCUUUUAAAGUAACAAAUGCUUACAUCCAGUUCUUUUAGGGCUGGCGUUGCAUAUUUCAACAAGGAAUUUCCAACCAUGUGCUCCAUCUUUCACAACAACAUGACUUUAGAUUAGAAGGGUCACUGGUACCUUAUCUGAUGCUGUUGCAAUCCCCUGAAAAAACUAUAACAACUUUACUUUCAUCAGUUCUCACGAGUGUUUUAUUUUUCCUGAAUGUUUCACAUUUAUUUUGAUGCACAUUAUGCCCCCCAAGAGAAAGUAUUGCUUAUAACAUUAAUUACCUGUUGGAUUUUUGCCAUUGCAGUUUUGGAAUUACAUUUUUUUUCUUUUUUCUAUUGGGUUACCAAACUGUGUUUUAUUAUGUACACAAAACUAAGCACCUUCACUAAUAGACCACAACAUUCAUGUCCAUUUGUUUCAAAUUAUUUUCAUGCCACACUUUCUUGAAUGCAAUAUUCUGUGUUCAAAAAAAAAGUCUUGAAUUGAAAAGGCAGUACAUAAAGAUACAGUUUCAUCCUGUAAAAUGUAAACUCUUGACAUUGUGCUGUUUAUAAACUACGUUCUCAGUUAUCAUUGAAUUUCUUUUUUUAAGUAUCGUGGUCAUUUACUGUUCCAAUGGCUGAUGUGAUGAGGUUAUUAUCAUAGUUGUCAGUGUGAAUAUGAAUAUGAGCUGUCACGUUGAUGUUAGUCCCAACAAUGAGGACAAAUUUGGAAAAUAAUAAAUAAAAAUAAAGUAAUUGGCUUUCAUGGUGUAAUAUGUUCAUUAAUGCUUCAUGUUACAUGAAAUUAUAAAGAGUUUCAUGACCUGGUGGUAAAGUAUUUCCAAUGUUUGACCAUCAGAUGUCACUGUCUUAACAAUUCAACCACUUUUAGUAUUAAACUAUAUUGUUCACCAUCUAAACUUUACACUAUGCUUUAAAAAGUGGUACAUUUUUUAAAAGGUUUACUUGUUUCUGGAAAUAUGCACCUAUAACAUUCAAGAUUUCAAGUGUUUAACAUUUCUCAUGAUUUUGAAUAA